rnacentral:misc_RNA from 1 species
AAGUCGUAACAAGGUUUCCGUAGGUGAACCUGCGGAAGGAUCAUUAAUGAAAAUGUGUUGCCGGGGCCCAUAAUCCCGGCACUAACCUUCUUAUCCAUAACACCUGUGCACUGUUGGAUGCCUGCAUCCACUUUUAUACUAAACAAUUUGUAACAAAUGUAGUCUUAUUAUAAUUAAUAAAA